AUUGAACGCUGGCGGAAUGCUUUACACAUGCAAGUCGAACGGCAGCACGGACUUCGGUCUGGUGGCGAGUGGCGAACGGGUGAGUAAUGCAUCGGAACGUGCCCAAUCGUGGGGGAUAACGUAGCGAAAGUUACGCUAAUACCGCAUACGAUCUAAGGAUGAAAGCGGGGGAUUGCAAGACCUCGCGCGAAUGGAGCGGCCGAUGUUAGAUUAGGUAGUUGGUGGGGUAAAGGCUCACCAAGCCGACGAUCUAUAGCUGGUCUGAGAGGAUGAUCAGCCACACUGGGACUGAGACACGGCCCAGACUCCUACGGGAGGCAGCAGUGGGGAAUUUUGGACAAUGGGCGCAAGCCUGAUCCAGCCAUUCCGCGUGCAGGAUGAAGGCCCUCGGGUUGUAAACUGCUUUUGUACAGAACGAAAAGCUCUGGGUUAAUACCCUGGGGUCAUGACGGUACUGUAAGAAUAAGCACCGGCUAACUACGUGCCAGCCGCCGCCGUAACAC
rnacentral:rRNA from 1 species